CGCUGAUCCCACUUUGACUUUUUCCAUAAAACUGAAUGUAGAUUUAUUUCCUUCUUAUUUUAACGAUUUCUUUAAAGGGGAUGUCCUUUGAAAAUUAAACCGAUUCACAUGCAAUAGUCUGUCGAGAUGUAAAAGUUACAAAACAUGUUAAAUUAAGUUAGUCAGUUUUCCAUCUUAAGAGACCACUCCAAGCGCCAUAAAUACUAG